rnacentral:rRNA from 1 species
UACGUAGGGUGCAAGCGUUAAUCGGAAUUACUGGGCGUAAAGCGUGCGCAGGCGGUUGUGCAAGACAGAUGUGAAAUCCCCGGGCUUAACCUGGGAAUUGCAUUUGUGACUGCACGGCUAGAGUGUGUCAGAGGGGGGUAGAAUUCCACGUGUAGCAGUGAAAUGCGUAGAUAUGUGGGAGGAAUACCGAUGGCGAAGGCAGCCCCCUGGGAUAACACUGACGCUCAUGCACGAAAGCGUGGGGAGCAAACAGG